rfam:Branchiostoma floridae genomic scaffold BRAFLscaffold_174, whole genome shotgun sequence.
AUCCCGGCCCUUUUCAGGGCCACCUACAUCCCCUGAAAGAGCUGU